CUUCAUCAAAGUCAUCUUAAUGCUAAGACCUUCAUAUCUAUGAAGCAGUAAUAAAGCCUAACAAAAGUCUUAGCACUAAGAUUUGUAUUUUACUCAUGGGCAGGCUACAGGACAGUGAAUACUGAAUAUAUUGCCAACUCAGCUGUUUUUGUUUGAGUGUUCAUUUCAAUAGGAAGAGGUUUUAUUUCAAUCAAUAAUCAGGUCUAUUCGACUACAGCAAAUUUUUGAUAACCUGAGUGUUGUGCCAAGAUUGGACAGACUCAAUUCUAAAUAUACAACAUUCAGCAGCAGAUGGUGUAACAUUAAACAAUUCAUUCAACAAUUUUACUGAUACGAUACCUUUCUGCAUGACAUCCACAGAAGAUUACCGAGUCCAGUGAACACAAACCUA